UCCCUGGUGACUCAGAGGUUAAAGUGUCUGCCUGCAAGGCGGGAGACCCAGGUUCAAUCCCUGGGUCGGGAA
rfam:Ovis aries breed Texel chromosome 7, whole genome shotgun sequence.